UCCAUGGGCUUUCAUGCCAGCCCUCCUGACAAGCCUGAUACACCUGGAGAGGCAUCACCCAGGCACAAGCAGGAGCUGGUGACACCGAACCCAUCCUGAUUACAGAGACUCCCUGUGGAAACGACACCACCCAUCUUCCACGGAUGAGCUCAAGACACUGCUGGCAAGUACAGAAGUGAAGAAAGCAGCUGGAGCUCAGGUCCUCCUCAUCAGACUGUGCUGCAGACCCUCCACGUCCUUCUUGUGAGCAAGGAGCCCAAAACUGAAUACAAAUGCAGCAAAUCAGAGUAAGAGAGCCUAAAAGGAAAACCUAAAAGUUUGGAGCAGACUGCAGCUGUUGCUAUUUUCAAAAUCAAAGAAUCAA